rnacentral:miRNA from 4 species
CUGAAGUGUUUGGGGGGACUC